CCUACGGGAGGCAGCAGUGGGGGAUAUUGCACAAUGGGGGAAACCCUGAAGCAGCGAAGCCGCGUGAGGGAAGAAGGAGUUCGGAAUGUAAAGCCCUAGUGGUAGGGAAGAAAAUGACGGUACCUGACCAAGAAGCCCCGGCUAACCCCGUGCCAGCAGCCGCGGUAAUACGGAGGGGGCAAGCGUUAUUCGGAAUUACUGGGCGUAAAGGGAGCGUAGGCGGGUAUGUAAGUCUGUAGUGAAAGCCUGUGGCUUAACCCCAGAACUGCAUUUGAAACUGUGAAACUGGAGUACGGGAGGGGUAGGUGGAAUUCUUGGUGUAGCGGUGAACUGCGUAGAUAUCAGGAGGAACAC
rnacentral:rRNA from 1 species